GACGAACGCUGGCGGCGUGCUUAACACAUGCAAGUCGAACGGAAAGGCCCUGCUUUUGUGGGGUGCUCGAGUGGCGAACGGGUGAGUAACACGUGAGUAACCUGCCCUUGACUUUGUGAUAACUUCAGGAAACUGGGGCUAAUACCGGAUAGGAUCUCCUGCUGCAUGGUGGUGGUUGGAAAGUUUCGGCGGUUGUGGAUGGACUCGCGGCUUAUCAGCUUGUUGGUGAGGUAGUGGCUUACCAAGGCUUUGACGGGUAGCCGGCCUGAGAGGGUGACCGGCCACAUUGGGACUGAGAGACGGCCCAGACUCCUACGGGAGGCAGCAGUGGGGAAUAUUGCACAAUGGGCGGAAGCCUGAUGCAGCAACGCCGCGUGCGGGAUGACGGCCUUCGGGUUGUAAACCGAUUUCGCAUGUGACGAAGAGUGAGUGACGGUAAUGGGUAAAGAAGCACCGGCUAACUACGUG
rnacentral:rRNA from 1 species